GUCUUUGUAGUAUAAUCAUUACC
rnacentral:tRNA from 1 species